rnacentral:rRNA from 1 species
AUACAGAGGGUGCGAGCGUUAAUCGAAAUUACUGGGCGUAAAGCGCACGUAGGUGGAUAUUUAAGUCAGAUGUGAAAUCCCCGGGCUCAACCUGGGAACUGCCUUUGAAACUGAUAGUCUAGAGUCCGAGAGAGGAUGGCGGAAUUCCCAGUGUAGAGGUGAAAUUCGUAGAUAUUGGGAAGAACACCGGCGGCGAAGGCGACGCUCUGGCCUGCUUCUGACGCUGAGGUGCGAAAGCCAGGGGAGCAAACGGGAUUAGAAACCCCGGUAGUCC